GGCCAGGAGACCAGAGGUGUCAGAGCUCGGGUUGGGGUGUAGGGUUUGAGCAUAGGCUGGAGGUAGGGAGGGACAGUUCCCCUUGCUGCUCUGUUGGCAAGCACCAAGGUCUUGUAGUGGAUGCGAGCUUCGACUGGAAGCCAGUGGAGUGUAUGGAGGAGCGGAGCGACAUGGGAGAACUUGGAAUGGAUGAACACCAAUCAGGCUGCUGUGUUCUGCAACAGUUGCAGGAAUUUAAUAGCACAAGUGGGGAGCCCAGCCAACAGCAAGUUUUUGUAGUUGAGAGAGGAGAUGUCUGGAUUAGGACCUGCCCCGCUUCCUGUGUGAGGUCACAGGCUCUGGGCAUGUCAUACCCUGCAGUCUCCUCCUGGAGAUUCACUGGGACAGCAGCGCCACCUAGGGGACGAUGAUGGAAUAACUACACUGUUUCACCAGGUAAAUUGACUGAGAAUAAAGUCUAUUCUAUGACUCUCGUUACAAAUAAAAAAAUACAAUUUUCACAAUGGCAUUUUAAAGUAAAUCAUCCUCUCUUCUCCUUUUUUGUCGAGAUAGUCCAUUAUCUAAUAUAAAAUGUAAUCUCACCUCCUCCCUGUGCCUCUCACCCUUACAGAUACCGUAACCGUCUUACAUCUGCAUUACAUUUGGAACACACUGUCGUACACGUCGAUUCAGAGCAUCCCAAACAUGCUCAACGGGUGACAUGUCUGGUGAGUAUAAAGCAAAGGAAGAACUGGGACAUUUUCAACUUCCAGGAAUUGUGUACAGAUCCUUGCGAGUAGGGCUGUGUAUUAUCAUGCUGAAACAUGAGGUGAUGGCAGCUGAUGAAUGGCACGACAAUGGGCCUCAGGAUCUUGUCAAUGUAUCUCUGUGCAUUCAAAUUGCCAUCGAUAAAAUGCAAUUGUGUUUGUUGUGUGUAGCUUAUGCUUGCCCCUACCACCACCAUGGGGAACUCUGUUCGCAUCAUUGACAUCAGCAAACCGAUCGCCCACACGGCGCCAUACACGCUGCCUGCCAUCUGCCCGGUACAGUUGAAACCGGGAUUAAUCCCUGAAGAGGAGAUGAAUGCUCCAGCAUGCGGUUGUGAGGCCGGUUUGUGCGUAUGGAAAGUUUCUGUGAUCUUUUACUUCAGCUCAUGAAACAUGGGACCAACCAUUUACAUGCUGAGUUUAUAUUUUUGUUCAGUGUACAUUCAGUAAUAAGCUAUGUCUGAAAUUACAUCCUAUUCCUAUAGUGCACUAGGGAGUAGGGUGCCAUUUCAGACACACUUCAGAGGCACAUCAUGUUAAUGUACAGUAUUUGAAAAUGUUGCCAAUGGUUACGGGGUCAAAUGAACUCUGAACUUUCCGGAGAGGUUGUCCUGUGUCGGUGAUGUCACAGGGUCUUGUUCUUCAGCGGAUGGAGCGAUGUUGUAGAAAACAGAGGACGAAAAGACAUAGGUGGGAGAAGCAGGAAGAGGAGGAAGAGAGGGAGGAGGAAGAAGGGAGUAAUGUGGGGGAGAGUGUGGAGGAGGAAAGGGUUUGAGAGGCUUUGAUUGCAGUGCAUCUUCUCUUGAAGGUCUCGGUUU
rnacentral:lncRNA from 1 species